UCCUGGCUCAGGAUGAACGCUAGCGGUGUGUUUACACAUGCAAGUCGAGCGAGGCUUCGAGCCGAGCGGCAGACGAGAGAGUAACACGUUGGAACCUACCCCAAACUCAGGGAUAACCUUCUGAAAAGAAGGCUAAUACCGGAUAGCCUCGAAAGAGUAAAGCUUUUGCGGUUUGGGAGGGGCCUGCGGCCUAUCAGCUAGUUGGUAAGGUAAUGGCUUACCAAGGCGAUGACGGGUAGCUGAUGUGAGAGCAUGAUCAGCCUCGAUGGGACUGCGACACGGCCCAUACUCCUACGGGAGGCAGCAGUGAAGAAUCUUCCGCAAUGGACGAAAGUCUGACGGAGCAACACCGCGUGGAGGACGACGGCCUUCGGGUUGUAAACUCCUUUUCUGAGGGAACAAGUAUGAGGGUACCUCAGGAAUAAGGCGCUGCUAACUACGUGCCAGCAGCAGCGGUAAUACGUAGGCGCCAAGCGUUAUCCGGAAUUACUGGGCGUAAAGAGUCUGUAGGCGGCGGAUAAAGUCGAGUGUUAAAUUUUCAUGCUCAACGUGAAAAAUGUACUCGAAACUUAUUUGCUUAGAGUCUGAGAGAGGCUACUGGAAUUCCCAUUGAAGGAGUAAAAUCCGUAGAUAAUGGGAGGAACACCAAAAGCGAAGGCAGGUAGCUGGAUCAGGACUGACGCUGAGAGACGAAAGCGUGGGUAGCGAACAGGAUUAGAUACCCUGGUAGUCCACGCCGUAAACGAUGAGUGCUAGGCGUUGGAGAGUCAUUUCGACCCUUUCCAGUGUCUAAAGUUAACACGUUAAGCACUCCGCCUGGGGAGUACGAGCGCAAGCUUAAAACUCAAAGGAAUAGACGGGGGCCCGCACAAGCGGUGGAGCAUGUGGUUUAAUUCGACAAUAAGCGAGGAACCUCACCUGGGCUUGACAUCUCAAGAAUCCUCUGGAAACAGAGGAGUGCCCGCAAGGGAAUUUGAUGACAGGCGCUGCAUGGUUGUCGUCAGCUCGUGCCCUGAGGUGUUCGGUUAAGUCCGUAAACGAGCGCAACCCUUAUCGUAUGUUGUAUUUUUCAUACGAGACUGCCGGUUUUACACCGGAGGAAGGUGGGGACGACGUCAAAUCAGCAUGGCCCUUAUGUCCAGGGCGACACACGUGCUACAAUGGGGAGUACAAUGGGUAGCCAAGGCGCAAGCCGGAGCUAAUCCUCAAAACUCCUCUCAGUUCGGAUUGAGGGCUGCAAUUCGCCCUCAUGAAGUUGGAAUCGCUAGUAACCGCAGAUCAGCCACGCUGCGGUGAAUAUGUUCCCGGGCAUUGUACUCACCGCCCGUCACGUCAUGGAAGAUGGGAGCACUUGAAGCACCACCCGAUAAGAGGGGUAUCAUGGCGAAACCAUUGACUGGGACGAAGUCGU
rnacentral:rRNA from 1 species